GUAUCAACUCCGCCGGCCACACAAGUCUGCCCAUCAGUCCACCAUGAAUUUUGAGGUGAUUGCAUCGAGCUUAAAAUCUAUCCCUAACAGCCUGAUUCACUGGAAAAAACGAAAUUAAUAAGCAAGUCCGUAACCAGCUCCAUAUCCUGCUAUUAGUAAACAGAAAAGAAAGUUAAUGAGGAUUUUGGUGGGAUUACAAAACUGCUUCCUUACCUCCGUAUCCGAGACCAUGACGGUAGCCCAAACCAUAACCUUAAAGCUCCAAAGCCAGCUCCGUAACCAGCUCCAUAGCCAUAGCCUAGUCCACCAUAACCUAGGCCACCGUAUCCAGCACCGUACAGUCCGUUUCCGUACAAUCCAUUGCCGUAGCCGAAUCCAGCGUAACCAAGUCCGCCGUAACCUCCAUACGCUCCGAGGGUACCCUCGGCCGUUUGCAGAUCCUUGCCGGUGUCAGAAUCGGUGGCUGCUGCCUGUUGCUCGACGGCUUCCUUUUGCUCUUCGGCAGCCAUGGCAAAAACGAUGCACGCAGCGACGAUGAAGAUCUAGGGGAAAAAAACAUUUAACAAUAAGAAUUUUCACCACACAGCGGGGAGUGGAGUGGGGUACUAGAUACUUGAAAUGUCAAGUGGACUGUGAUAUUUACGUUAGUAUUGGUGUUUAUAUACAUAGUUAAACGAGGUAUAGGCUGCAUUCGCAUACUCCAAAGAACGAGUGAAAGUUAGUCGACCGUGUAAGCAUUCGACUGAUAUUAGAUUUAGGGUGAGGAAAUUGGCGAUGGGUGAGAGGAAAAAACGGAUAGCAGUGCCAGCUAAACGGAAGAUUGUUAAGCAUAUCAUUUAUUAAGAGAUUCUCAAUUUCAAGUUGAAGCAUGAGUUGCCCGAAACUCGCUGAAUGUCAAGUAGGAGAAAGAUGAUGAAUCAGCUUUUCACUGCAUAAUUCUUUGUGAACUUCAUGGUAAUUGGAUGGCUAUAAUAUUCGUGAACGAUUUUGGACUCGAGAGACUGAAAUACCCUACCACCAUUAUAUAAGUAUUAAUAUGAAAUAAAUAUAGUAUUUGAUUUUAUUCAAAAAUAGGUCAAGGAAAAGAAGUCAUGGUCAACAAUGGAAAAAGUAUUCCUUCUUUUCUAAUUAAAUUAUAAUACCGACCUUAUUAAAAUUUGGUGGUGGAAGUGUGUGAGUUUAUCGAAAGCACCUGUAGAUCAGUAUUUUGCCGACAAUGUAUUUUAAUACUAAUGAUUGUGAGAUUCAUAGGCUUUCACUGUAUGCGGACUUUAUUGGCAUUACAUCACCACACCAUUUCUUUUUAGCGGUCUGAAGAGAGAACAAAUUCAAACAGUUAAGAUAUAUAAAAUUAGUAAUCGGAAUGACGUUAAUAAGCAAGUCCAUGAUGACCAUAACCGUUAGCAUGUCCAUGGCCAUGGCCGAGAGCGUGAGCAUUGCUGUGGCUGUUCGAUCCGUGGCUGAUGACUUUAUUGAUGCUGGUAUAACCGGAACUAGCGUGAUUGUGUCCGUGAUUGUGUCCGUAACCAGCUCCAUAACCUGUGAUAACACGACAUCGUCAAAAAACUUCUCCAAUCUUUAAUCAACGGUGAGUUCCAAAAUUAGUUACUUACCUCCGUAUCCAAGACCAUGUCCACCAUAACCGAGCCCUAAACCGUAACCUUUUAUUCAGAAAACAAAUCAGUUUUAGUGGGAUUUCAGACAAUUUGUAAAAUAUCCUUUAAUAAUUCAAACCUCCGUAACCAGCACCAUAACCAAUUCCAUGGCCAUAUCCUAGUCCACCAUAUCCAGCACCAUAGAGUCCGUUGCCGUACAAUCCAUUAGCAUACCCAAGUCCACCAUAACCUCCAUACACUCCGAGGGUACCCUCGGCUGUUUGCAGAUCCUUGCCACUUUCAGAUUCGGUGGCGGCCGCUUGUUGUGGAACGGCCUCUUGCUCUUCAGCAGCCAUGGUCACAACAAUGCACUGAUAUGAGUUUAUUGGGAAAUGGAUUUACCUUGAAGGCGAUCAUUUUUAAUUGAGAUUGGAGAUUGUACUGGAAGACUGAAUUUCAGUUUGAGUGUGAAUUUUACAUCGAUCGGCACUGCUUAUAUACUUUGGUGAAAGCCAUGGUAUUUCAUCGAAAAGUCGUGUUAAGGCAUGGCAAACGGUGACAAACAAUUGCUGUGUAAGCAAAGUGAAAGGUUUACCAAUUGUUUUAAUCAUAGACAUGCACAGUUGAGUUAAAGGGGUAAUCCUUUCUUUCGAUGCACUGGACCAUAACAUAUUAACUUUAUUGAUAAUAGCGAGUGAUAGUUAAUUUUAUUUGCAGGAACUCGAUAAAGAUAAAGGAAAAUUUUUUUUUUUUUGUUUCUCUUUCCUUUUUUGACGAAAAAAACUCGAAGUGUGCUGUUCUGUUGUAGGUGGGUAUUUUUGUUGCCCAACCUUUUAUUGGGAUCAUUACCAGUUUACAGAGUAUCAAGUUCACGAACAAAUUAUGGAUUCAUGUCAAGUUCAACUAGUGUUGUACCGUGCACUAGACAAACCUGUCGUACGGAUUCUGCUAAUAUUCAGAGAACUAAUGGUGAAAUUUUAAAAGCCUGCUUAUUGUUCGUGAGGUGACGAGAAAAAAUCAAUGCUCUUACGAACGUAAGGAACUGUUUAUUCGUAUAACAACAAAGGU